rnacentral:rRNA from 1 species
AACGGCCCACCAAGGCGACGAUCAGUAACCGGCCUGAGAGGGUGAACGGUCACAUUGGAACUGAGACACGGUCCAAACUCCUACGGGAGGCAGCAGUGGGGAAUCUUGCACAAUGGGGGAAACCCUGAUGCAGCGACGCCGCGUGAGCGAUGAAGGUUUUCGAAUCGUAAAGCUCUGUCCUAUGGGAAGAUAAUGACGGUACCAUGGGAGGAAGCCCCGGCUAACUACGUGCCAGCAGCCGCGGUAAUACGUAGGGGGCGAGCGUUGUCCGGAAUUACUGGGCGUAAAGGGUUCGCAGGCGGCAUGGCAAGUCCGAUGUAAAAGGCGAAGGCUCAACCUUCGUAAGCAUCGGAAACUGUCAAGCUUGAGUGAAGGAGAGGCAAGUGGAAUUCCUAGUGUAGCGGUGGAAUGCGUAGAUAUUAGGAGGAAUACCGGUGGCGAAGGCGACUUGCUGGACUUCAACUGACGCUGAGGAACGAAAGCGUGGGUAGCAAACAGGAUUAGAUACCCUGGUAGUCCACGCCGUAA